ACAAACAGCACUUCUGGCUAAGCCCAAUUUGCAUAGGGCAGGCCCAGGUGGAGGAAAAAACAUAUAAAAGGAGGAGCCAAAGUGCUUUCUCUGGGACUCUCUCUCCCGUGUGCAUGCGUGCGCGCUCUCGCACUCUCUCUCUCUCCUGCUAUCUUCUAAAUAAAAUGGAGCUGUAACACUGAUUUGCCUAAGAGCUGUAACACGGUUUGUACAAGACCCAAGAGGAGUGACGCGCCGAGGGCUUUAAUGUCCAUUGUUCCAAAUCUUUGUUGUGACGAGACAAAGAACCGAGGAACAUACACUCGCGUGACAUCUAUGGUGCCGUAACUCGGAUCAAACUUGGCUGAAACAACCUCCGCGUGGAAGAGGCCAAGCACAGCAGGAGCCCAAUUCAGCAAAGCUCCCGCGCUAGAAGCAGAAGGCGAAGAAACCCAGCUCAGGGGAAGGCCCAUCAUGCUGGAAACCAGGACAGCGAAAAACGAACUCAGCAGAAAGCUCACGCGGCCUAGUCUCAGAUUCCAGAAGACCUCCGGUUAAGGUCAACCAGCUACAACAUGCAGUGCCAGUUCAACAAA